CCUACGGGAGGCAGCAGUGGGGAAUAUUGGGCAAUGGACGCAACUCUGACCCAGCAACGCCGCGUGAAUGAUGAAGGUCUUCGGAUUGUAAAGUUCUUUGAUGGGGGAUGAACACAAUGACGGUACCCCAAUAGCCAGCCACGGCUAACUACGUGCCAGCAGCCGCGGGAAUACGUAGGUGGCAAGCGUUAUCCGGAAUGAGUGGGUGUAAAGGUAGGGUAGACGGUUAAGUAAGUCUGGAGUGAAAGGCCGGGGCUUAACCCCGGGACUGCUCUUGAAACUAUUUAACUUGAGUGCAGGAGAGGUAAGCGGAAUUCCUAGUGUAGCGGUGAAAUGCGUAGAUAUUAGGAGGAACACCAGUGGCGAAGGCGGCUUACUGGACUGUAACUGACGUUGAGGCUCGAAAGCGUGGGGAGCAAACAGGAUUAGAUACCCUGGUAGUC
rnacentral:rRNA from 1 species